rnacentral:antisense_RNA from 1 species
UCGGGAGGGGAUGGGACAUUGAGGAGCGGGACAGUCUUCAGGAAGCUUACAGUCUGCUUUGGGUUGUUUCAGGAACACAGUCAUCCCUAAGAAAUGGAUUGGGUGACAAGUGGUCUGCAUGCUGCACAUGGGCACUGGGGCAAAUGGGACAAACAAAACAGUCAAAGAGGAGAGCAGGGAGAGAAGACAGAUUCAGUGUUGCCCUCGGCAGAUGCAGAGGAAACGAGCUCAAAACCCUUUCACAUGUGCCGGGCGCAAGCGACGCUGCCCAGAAACCCCGCGCCAACCCCUGCAGCCGAGGAAUUGGAGCUUCUGUGUUACUCAAAACAAUGCAUCUGUCUUUCAUU